rnacentral:rRNA from 1 species
GAUGAACGCUGGCGGCGCCUAAUACAUGCAAGUCGAGCGAACAGAUGAGGAGCUUGCUCCUCUGACGUUAGCGGCGGACGGGUGAGUAACACGUGGAUAACCUACCUAUAAGACUGGGAUAACUUCGGGAAACCGGAGCUAAUACCGGAUAAUAUAUUGAACCGCAUGGUUCAAUAGUGAAAGACGGUUUUGCUGUCACUUAUAGAUGGAUCCGCGCCGCAUUAGCUAGUUGGUAAGGUAACGGCUUACCAAGGCAACGAUGCGUAGCCGACCUGAGAGGGUGAUCGGCCACACUGGAACUGAGACACGGUCCAGACUCCUACGGGAGGCAGCAGUAGGGAAUCUUCCGCAAUGGGCGAAAGCCUGACGGAGCAACGCCGCGUGAGUGAUGAAGGUCUUCGGAUCGUAAAACUCUGUUAUUAGGGAAGAACAAAUGUGUAAGUAACUAUGCACGUCUUGACGGUACCUAAUCAGAAAGCCACGGCUAACUACGUG